rnacentral:snRNA from 1 species
UUGCUUCAGCAGCAUACAUACUAAAAUUAGAAUGAUACAGAGAAGAUUAGCAUGGCCCCUGCACAAGGAUGACAUCCAAAUUGUGAUUUUUCAUGAUUUU